UUUUCCCCCAUUUUUCCUACCAGACAUUGAUUGGACAUAGUGAGAAUGCAGAAUUUGCAUUGGCAAUGUGCCCCACUGAACCCUUUGUGCUCUCUGGAGGAAAGGACAAAUCUGUGGUACUGUGGAGUAUUCAAGAUCAUAUAUCAACAUUGAGCACAGAUGC